rnacentral:rRNA from 1 species
AACGAACGCUGGCGGCAUGCCUAACACAUGCAAGUCGAACGAGACCUUCGGGUCUAGUGGCGCACGGGUGCGUAACGCGUGGGAACCUGCACUUAGGUUCGGAAUAACUCCCCGAAAGGGGUGCUAAUACCGGAUAAUGUCUUCGGACCAAAGAUUUAUCGACCUUGGAUGGGCCCGCGUUGGAUUAGCUAGUUGGUAGGGUAAAAGCCUACCAAGGCGACAAUCCAUAGCUGGUCUGUGAGGAUGAUCAGCCACACUGGGACUGAGACACGGCCCAGACUCUUACGGGAGGGAGGAAUGGGGAAUAGUGCACAAUGGGGGGAAUGCUGAUGCAGCAAUGCCGGGAGAGGUAUGAAGGCCUUAGGGUUGUAAAGAUCUUUUAACCGGGAUGAUUAUGACAGUACCUGGAGAAAAAGCCCCGGCUAACUCCGUG